UCGAAUAAAAUUGAAGUUUUAGUUAAUGUUUGAUAGCUGGCAGAUUAGAACUGUCAACUUGUGCGAAUUUUUAGAGGGUCUUAACGACUUCAUUUGGGAAAACUUCCUUCAUGAGAGUUGUAGCCCUUUAAGUCUAGAAAAUUCUCGAAGUGGAAUCAGGUCAUUCCGACCUCUGUAGCUCGAGAUAUCAUCGGUUUAGUGACGAUGGUCCUGGCUGUACAGUACCAGCGGAUUUAAUUGAUGUGUUUCCUUUCAAUUCCGAGUGUGAUCGUGAUAUUACUAAAAAGGACUGAGGUUUUUGAUUAGUUUCAGUUCUGAGUAAGUUCUUAAGUGAUGGGGUCAAGGGUUUUGACUUGGGUUGGGCUUGAAAGAAAACAAACCCUAGCCCAAGAGAGGGGACGCAGGCUAUGAAGGGUCUUGGGAGGGAAAGGGUUUCUUUUCACACUAUUCUGAAGAAAGAAACCUUGAACACUUCUGAAACACGUAAAACAGAGGAGAAAGAGUGAGAGAAACUUUCCCCUUGCACCCUAGCCGUCACCGUCCCAAGCCCUACCACCGUCGACGUGUUCGCGCAAGAGAGAGGAGGAGUUUGCGAGCGAGAGGGAGAGAGGAAGGGUUACGCGUGGGAGAAGAGGAGAGAAACCAGAACCUUGCUCUUCAAUUUCAUCUUUUCUUCAAGCCUAAGGACAAAGAUGGUCGUGAAGAUAAUGGCGAUGACACAUUCUUGGGAGUUGAUGCUACGUGACGUGCCAAUACCGGAGGACGACUACACUUUAGAGGAAGAGGAAGAGGCUAAGGAAUAGGGUUUGGGUUGAGAGUCUUUUGUUUUCUGUUGGGGUUGAGAGUUUCCGAAGUGUUGGUAUCGAACAAUUUUAUUGCUUAAAUUCGAAUGAACAAGUUUUGAUGUAA